rnacentral:rRNA from 1 species
UGGGGAAUAUUGGACAAUGGGCGCAAGCCUGAUCCAGCCAUGCCGCGUGAGUGAUGAAGGCCUUCGGGUUGUAAAGCACUUUUGUCCGGAAAGAAAUCCUUGGCUCUAAUACAGUCGGGGGAUGACGGUACCGGAAGAAUAAGCACCGGCUAACUACGUGCCAGCAGCCGCGGUAAUACGUAGGGUGCAAGCGUUAAUCGGAAUUACUGGGCGUAAAGCGUGCGCAGGCGGUUUGCUAAGACCGAUGUGAAAUCCCCGGGCUCAGCCUGGGGAACUGCAUUGGUGACUGGCAGGCUAGAGUAUGGCAGAGGGGGGUAAAUUCCACGUGUAGCAGUGAAAUGCGUAGAGAUGUAGAGGAAUACCGAUGGCGAAGGCAGCCCCCUGGGCCAAUACUGACGCUCAUGCACGAAAGCGUGGGGAGCAAACAGGAUUAGAUACCCCGGUAGUCCACGCCCUAAACGAUGUCAACUAGUUGUUGGGGGAUUCAUUUCCUUAGUAACGUAGCUAACGCGUGAAGUUGACCGCCUGGGGGAGUACGGUCGCAA